rnacentral:tRNA from 1 species
CGGGGUGUGGCUCAGCUUGGCUAGAGCACCUGGUUUGGGACCAGGGGGUCGCAGGUUCGAAUCCUGUCACCCCGACGA